rnacentral:rRNA from 1 species
CGCAACGCCGCGUGGAGGAUGAAUGUCGUAAGAUUGUAAACUCCUGUUAGAGGGGACGAAUGAUCGUAAUUCGUAGGGUUAUGAUUUGACUGUACCCUCAGAGAAAGCCCCGGCUAACUACGUGCCAGCAGCCGCGGUAAUACGUAGGGGGCAAGCGUUGUCCGGAUUUACUGGGUGUAAAGGGCGCGUAGGCGGGUUUGCAAGUCAGUGGUGAAAUCUCCCGGCUUAACCGGGAAACUGCCAUUGAUACUGCAGAUCUUGAGUAAGGAAGAGAGAGACGGAAUUCCAGGUGUAGUGGUGAAAUACGUAGAUAUCUGGAAGAACACCAGUUGCGAAGGCGGUCUCUUGGUCCUAUACUGACGCUGAGGCGCGAAAGCGUGGGGAGCGAACAGGAUUAGAUACCCUGGUAGUCCACGCUGUAAACGAUGAAUACUAGGUGUUGGGUCGCAAGGCUCAGUGCCGCAGCAAACGCAUUAAGUAUUCCACCUGGGGAGUACGAUCGCAAGGUUG